rnacentral:rRNA from 1 species
GAUGAACGCUGGCGGCGUGCCUAAUACAUGCCAGUCGAGCGAACAGACGAGGAGCUUGCUCCUCUGACGUUAGCGGCGGACGGGUGAGUAACACGUGGAUAACCUACCUAUAAGACUGGGAUAACUUCGGGAAACCGGAGCUAAUACCGGAUAACAUGUUGAACCGCAUGGUUCAACAGUGAAAGACGGUCUUGCUGUCACUUAUAGAUGGAUCCGCGCCGCAUUAGCUAGUUGGUAAGGUAACGGCUUACCAAGGCAAUGAUGCGUAGCCGACCUGAGAGGGUGAUCGGCCACACUGGAACUGAGACACGGUCCAGACUCCUACGGGAGGCAGCAGUAGGGAAUCUUCCGCAAUGGGCGAAAGCCUGACGGAGCAACGCCGCGUGAGUGAAGAAGGUCUUCGGAUCGUAAAACUCUGUUAUUAGGGAAGAACAAAUGUGUAAGUAACUAUGCACGUCUUGACGGUACCUAAUCAGAAAGCCACGGCUAACUACGUG